rnacentral:lncRNA from 1 species
CUCCACGUUGCGAUGGAUCCUUGGACCCACUUUUGUUAACUCUUAAACUUUGUGUCUUUGUCUUUAUUUCUUUUCUCAUUCCCUCGUCUCCACCGGGAAGGGGAGAGCCUGCGGGUGGUGUAUCAGGCAGGUUCCCCUACAUCUUUGGCACCCAACACGGUCUCCUUGAACCCAGGUGAAGUUACACCUGAGCGUGGUCGUUGUGAAGAACGGUCUGUCCAGGAACUCCCGAGAACGUGUGGUCGGCCUUGCGUCAUGGGUGUGCCACAGAAAGGAAAAAUGGUCUGGUGGAAGGAUACCAGAACCAAAACUUGGAAAUUAAGAAAAAGUAUUACUUGGGGGAGGGGUUUUCCUUGUGUUUCACCAAGAGACAAUCAAACACUCAUUUGGAUACCCAAUAGACAUUUAAAAUUCUACAAUGAACCCUACACCGACCGGUCAGAAAAAAGGAAAGAAUCAAAAGAGAAAGAAGACCGGUCCCUUCGACCUGUCUUUUCGGGAGCUGAGGAAAAUGGUGAAGCUGAGCGUCUCGGAGAAAAAACAGAAGACGGAGAAGACUCGCUAGGCUACACCACUGACAUGGGGACAGAUAAAGAAGCUGACUCAAUUGGCAGAGGACACCCUAAAGGAGAAACAACUAGCGAUUACACCGGGUAAUAUGAUCUUGGCUGCCUUGAUGGUAAUCACCACGGCGGAACACUGCCCUGAAACUGCAGGACUGCUGGGCAGCCAGGGGUCUGGAAAAGGGAUCAGUGUACCUUCAUCUUCC